GACGAACGCUGGCGGCGUGCUUAACACAUGCAAGUCGUACGAUGACCCGGCUCUUCGGAGCUGGUGAUUAGUGGCGAACGGGUGAGUAACACGUGGGUGACCUGCCCUGCACUCUGGGAUAAGCCCGGGAAACUGGGUCUAAUACUGGAUACGACCAGUGGCCGCAUGGUCUGCUGGUGGAAAGCCCUUCGGGGUGGUGUGGGAUGGGCCCGCGGCCUGUCAGCUUGUUGGUGGGGUGAUGGCCUACCAAGGCGACGACGGGUAGCCGGCCUGAGAGGGUGUCCGGCCACACUGGGACUGAGACACGGCCCAGACUCCUACGGGAGGCAGCAGUGGGGAAUCUUGCACAAUGGGCGAAAGCCUGAUGCAGCGACGCCGCGUGAGGGAUGACGGCCUUCGGGUUGUAAACCUCUUUCGGCAGGGAACAAGCCUGGGGGUUUUCUUCUGGGUGAGGGUACCUGCGGAAGAAGCACCGGCUAACUACGUG
rnacentral:rRNA from 1 species